CGCCCCGUAGACGCAUUCGCUCGUACGCUUCGUCCAAAGAGGACUUUACGAAAUAGAAACGGAGACACACGCUGUCUCAUCUUUUUCGUGUCUGCUCGUCCUUUUCGUCGAGUCGUAAGAAACAAGGAGGCAUUACGGAUAUCGAGACUGAAGGAGGACAACGUUAAAAGUAUUUUAUUCAUUCGUUUCGAGAAUAAACAUUUCUCACGUUAUUUAGCUCGAUAACGUAAUAAUCGAAUAAAAAGCGAGAGGGCAGUGAGGGAAACGUUGCGCUCUCGAAGAAGCAGAAAGUUUCGACGAGUUUCAAACGACUCUUGCAGUUUACUGCUUCGCGAGGGCUGAUAUCUACGUCAGGCCACGCGUUCGACGACACGAAGGGAAAGAAAAAAGGGGCAGACAAAGGGGCAUUCAAAGCUUUCCGAGGAAUAAAAGAGGAGAGAGUUUGAAGAAAGCAAUGGCCGUCGCAGCAGCUCAAAAAAACCGCGAACUCUUCGCCAUUAAAAAGUCUUACAGCAUCGAGAAUGGUUAUCCAGCGCGACGCCGUUCGCUCGUGGACGACGCUCGUUUCGAAACAUUAGUCGUCAAACAGACUAAACAAAGCGUGCUCGAAGAGGCACGGCAACGAGCGAAUGACACUAGUGCCGAUCCUUUAUCCACUCAAGAGCAACAAGAAGGAAACGAUGAGAUUUACGUGGACGCAUCGAGCGACGAGGAACAAGGCGAGACGCUGAUAUGCGCGAGCAAGGAAGGAGAAGCUAAAGCGGAGGCCUCAUCGGAUAGCGAAGGGAAGCCCGAUGACGAUUACGACGACGAUGCCGGACUUACGGAAGAGGAAGUGGUGCUCGCAAAAGCGAUAGCCGAGAGUCCGGAGAGCGAGCACGUUGUGCAAAAAGCCGCGCUGGUACUUCGUUUGCGCGAAGGCAUAAGCUCUCUCGCUAGGAUCCUGAAGACCAUUGAGAAUUUCAAGGGUACGGUUACUCAUGUAGAAUCGAGACCAUCGAAAAAGGAAGGUCACCAAUUCGACGUCCUGGUAAAAGUCGACAUGACGAAACAAUGUCUCCUUCAAUUGAUUCGAAAUCUUAGGCAAAGUUCCUCAUUGGAUGGCGUGACUUUGCUCAUGGACAAUUCUGUCAGCGUCAAGGAUCCGUGGUUCCCCCGUCAUGCUUCAGAUCUUGACAAUUGCAAUCAUUUGAUGACAAAGUACGAACCGGAUCUCGACAUGAACCAUCCUGGCUUCGCUGAUAAAGAAUAUCGAGCUCGUAGGAAGGUAAUCGCUGAGAUAGCCUUUGCUUACAAGUACGGCGAUCCUAUUCCCUCCAUCCCAUAUACCGAGGUUGAGAACGAUACUUGGUCUCGCGUCUUCAAUACCGUCGUCGAUUUGGUACCUAAACACGCUUGCAUCGAAUAUCAAAGAGUCUUCAAGAAGCUCCAAGAGGAAAAGAUUUUCGAGAGUCAUCGUAUACCCCAAUUACAGGAAGUCAGUAAUUUCCUGCAAAAGAAUACAGGAUUCACUCUGAGACCAGCCGCUGGACUGCUCACCGCCAGGGAUUUCCUUUCGAGUCUCGCUUUUAGAGUCUUCCAAAGUACGCAAUACGUUCGCCACAUCAACAGCCCGUACCACACGCCUGAACCAGACUGCAUUCACGAGCUCUUAGGACACAUGCCUCUGCUGGCCGACCCAAGUUUCGCUCAAUUCUCGCAAGAGAUCGGCCUGGCCUCGCUCGGUGCCUCUGAUGAGGAAAUCGAAAAACUCUCGACCAUUUACUGGUUCACCGUCGAAUUUGGACUCUGCAUGGAGGGUGGAGAGGUGAAGGCUUACGGAGCAGGUCUCUUGUCUGCUUAUGGCGAAUUGCUUCAUGCUCUGAGCGACAAGUGCGAGCAUCGACCUUUCGAGCCAACGACCACAGCCGUGCAAAAGUAUCAGGAUCAGGAGUACCAGCCUAUAUACUUUGUCGCCGAGAGCUUCGAAGAUGCCAAGGAAAAGUUCCGUCGUUGGGUGUCAGCCAUGAGCCGGCCGUUCGAGGUCAGGUUUAAUCCACACACGCAGCGCGUCGAAGUUCUCGACACGGUCGACAGGUUGGAGGGAGUACUUUCACAGCUGAAUACCGACAUGGCCCAUCUUACCAACGCUAUCGACAAAAUCAAGCGUAACUUUGCCGCGUAAGAGAAAACCGAUUAAGGAACCGACUCUCACUUCGCACGAUUAUUGCGAUAUACGUUUAUUCUCCUUUUUUUUUUUUUUUCUUCCUUUUUCUCUCUUUUCUUUUUCCUUCUCUUUUUUUUUUUUUUUUUCUUUUUUUAAUCCUUAACCUAUCGUAUACAGAAAGUAGCGCUUCUUGUCCGUAGACGUUGCCCAAGAUAAACGCUUCUUUGAGAGGGAAUUUCCUUGCACUCUCGUUGCACUCUCGUAGCAUUCCCGUAGCAUUCCCGUAGCAUGCUCCGUUUUUCUUGUCGAUUUACGUAUCUAUCCACCUACCUACCUACCUAUCCAUUGUGUCAAAUAGGAUAGAUAUAAGUAACGUUCGAAAGGAUCAAAGCUGCCAAGUUUCGCGAAAAAAAUCCUAAUGGGUUUUGUUAUUGGAAAUGGGAGAGAAAUGAGGAGAGAGAGAGAGAGAGAGAGAGGGAGGGAGGGAGAGAGACAAAAGUCGUUAUCGAAAUUAGGACUUUCUCGAGUUCCUUAAGUUUAUCCCGCCGCGCUUUGUAAGAUUCUUCCUUUACCUUAGAGACCUUCCGGGUACGAUAAAGAAUUUUUUUUCUCACCCCUAUCAUUCUCGUCCGUCCCACGCAUCGAACUUGUCCUCAUUUUUGUAUAAAGUUAUCUAAUCAUAAUUCAUUGCAGAGUUGUAACCGGGUACGCGACGGAAGUCCAUUAAAAAGAAAGAAAAUAAAUUGAAUUUAUAGGACACUAAUGUCCUUAUAAUACGGAUACUCGAACGAAAGUGAGUGUGAAUAGGAAGGAUACGUGCGUUACCAAGGUCGACUAUGCCAAUCUAAUUUUCCACGUCAUUGGUAAAAGUCGCGAGCGAGAGCGAGAAGGCCCUUUUCAUUGGCAAGACCGUCGUUGAUUCGUUAGAAAUCACGUGCUACGUCUUUGUCCGACUUAGUUUUGAGCGAAAAAUCGUAGCUCGUCGCGUCGAGCUUCGACGAUCCUACCUAAGGCUUUUAUUUUUUUUCGCGCGUACCCGCCUAUACUUUGCGUUAAUAUAAUCCAUCGUAUACUCGUAUUUCUAACUAAUAUUUUAUAAUAAUACGAAUAAUAUUGUAUUAGAUUUCUCUCUUUGGUUUCUUUCCCAGUAAGGUCUUUAUCAAUUUCGUUAUGUCUGCGUCUCACUGCGAACACUGCAAAUCUUUCCAUAAAUGUGUCGCAUAGUUAGUAAUAAGACUAAACACGCUCGAAAGCUUCUUUUUUUUCUUUCUUCUUUUUUUUUUUUUUUUUUUUUUUUUUUUUUUUUUUUUUGUUCCUCUUUGCGUACGAACACCUUUCGAAAGAGCGAUCAAAGUAUCGACGUAAUCUUUAAUGCCGAGGCAGAAUAUUUAUGACGUUUCGGCGAAGACCAAAGGAAAAGGAAGCAAAGGAAGAAAGAGAUAAGCUUACGAUCCACCGAUGUUGAAGAAUCGACGUUACGUUAUAGAAGAAUAUAGCAUAUCCCUUGCGCGUAGUUAGUGACGUGUAUCUUCGCUUAUUGUUAGUGUAUCCCGCACAUCGACCAAUCAUCACUCUCUUCCAAAAGUUUUUGCUAACUCGUACAAAAUAUCUCCUCGUAUACGUAAUACGUGUGUGUAGCAAACUUGUUAAGCUGUAGCAAAAAUGCUCCAACUAUAUAAAGCAUUUACUUUGUAUUAUAUUGUAUAGUACUCGGAGCAUAAUAAUAAAGAUAUAUUAGAUGUGUACCUAACGCGUCGUCUGUUGAAUUAAAAGCGUACCUAUGUAUAUUUUGUUGAAAAAUCUCAGCCGAAGAUUUAAAUCCUAAAUAAAGAGUUUUCAUCUCAAUUCUGUUCGCCGAGCUUUUAGUCAUAAUAACAUAUCCCCUUUCACCCUAAUUGGAAUAAAUGUGAAUUAGUUUUAACGAGGUUAUGAUUAGGAAAUGAUGAUCGAUGGAUCGAUCGAAAACUAUCGAAUCUUAUGAUCGGUCGAAAGACCGAGGAAACGAAGAAGAGAAACGUCAGCUCGAUUCGUUCUCGGUGAGUAUUCUCGUAAAUGCUUGUCCUUCGGACAAAAGAGACACAAUGAGGUUCGAAAGGAGGCGCAUCGUACCACGUUAAGCGACAAAAAAAAAAAAAAAAGAAAAAGUAAGAAAAAGAAAAGAAAAGAAAGAAAAUAGCGGCGCGACAGCAUCGGGCCGAUUAUGAAAUUUCUGCCUUUCGUUUUCGGCAUGCUGGUCGCCGGACUGGAGUGCGCCGACGCGAAGAUGUGGACUGACGGUGACAGUAAGUGAAAGCGACGGAUAAUCGAUCUCGACUUCCUCGUUUCUGACUUCCAGAUCGUUCGGAUGAGACCUUUCGCAUCUUCGUCUGGAUCGCUCGUCUCAAGCGUCUUUCCUUGAUCGCCAUCAUGUUGCUCAGCGUGUUGCUUUAUUACGUACCCGAGUCGCGUUCUCGUGAGUAGCGAUAUAAAGGAGAACUGGAUUUUAAAAAAGAGUUCAUUGCGUGGGCAUUUGCCCAUAAGUAAAGAGGAUGGAUAAUUAAAGAAAGAGGCGCGGUGAACUUAUGCUUAAAAGAAUAUUCACGCAUACAUAGAUAGAACAUUUCUUUGUUAGACGUACGAAAGGCUUGUUGCUUCUUGAUCGAUUUCGUGGCGGAUGGAUUGAAAUUUGCUCUUCGUCCUACCGACAACGAUUACGGAAGGAAAUUGAAAGUUAAGAAACGAAGAUCGCAAAGCGAACAAGAUAAUCAACGGAGAAGGCGCAUAUACGAGAAAAGCAGAAUCCCGACGAACGAAGGGUCAUCUUGGUUGGUCUUUGGACGUGGCUCGAACGCGAAUUAUUCAAACGACAAAUGGACGAUUUGUAGGUAUCGAGAGAGCGCGAGAUCGCGUACGAAACGUUUUGGUCAAGAUGGAAAGUAUCAAAAUCGUCGCCGGGAUCAACGACGUUAUCGCGAGGUUAUCGGGAACGACGAGAGCUGCCUCGAUUUGUCACCUUUCCUACAAAAUCAAUACCAGCAGAGGCGUGCCGUUAUGACGCGAAACGACAUGGCUUCUGUCCGUUUGAAAAAGGAAUGCACGGUUGAUAAUCCGUUUAAAUAUCGGGAGGAUGUUUCAUACUCGAGCCAGAAAUUCCCUAUAGAAUAUGAGGAAGAUAAUGCGCCAACUGAUGCGGUUAAUAAAUUCGUUUUGUUCCCUUUACGAUCGUACAUCGUUUUGCCUAACAAUAUUCUCCUUUCUAUUACAGAAUGUAUCGACGAAUUAUUACGAUUUGCCGAGCGACAGGUUCGAUCGAAACGUCGCCGAUGUCACGACCUAUCCUACGUUGCGAGAAAUUAUAGGGGAUAACAAAUUUUUCAUGGACAAGAGGGAAGAGAGAUCGAUCGUUGAUUUUAAAGGAAAGACUACGGUCCGUAAGAGACAAAUACCGGGAAUACGGCUAAUGCACGGUGAUACGAUACCGGAGACGUCGUACAACGAGAGCUCGUACACCAGUUUAGAAGCGGAAGCGGACGACGAGAAUUCUCAAUGCGGAAAUGAAAUUGUGCCGGGGACAAAGUUUUCAAAGGAAGGAGACGUCGAGGAAGCGACGACGACGACGACGACGACGACGACGAGUACGUCGAUGGCGCGGCAAACGAUCGGAGGAUAUGAUAAGAAUACUUUUAUCUUUUUCCUUUGUUUUUCCUUUUUUAUAUAACAUUUUUAAUAUAUAACAGAUCUACGACGCGAUUAUCGUUAUCUUUAAUAAUAAACCAUUGUAAAGAGAGUUUCGGAGGGAGGAAGUACGUAUAAGGAAAUGAAAUAUACGGCAAGACACAAUCGAAUAUCCAAAUAAAUGAAAAAGGAGGACUAACGAAACGGAUUGUCGGUUAUUCAGAUCCCAGGGGAAACUCCUUGUCGCGUGCCGUAAAGUGGAUCUUUGGAGGAUGUCCGGGAACGUGCCGACGUCUCUCGCCAGGAAAGCCGGGGAAGAAAAUGGAAGAGAGAAAACUAGUCGGAAAGGAAGAGAUUUGCGAAAAAGUAAGCGGCGUCAUGGACGAGUGGCUCUACUUCUAACGAAGAACGCGAAGCAGAACGGGUUGCAGCCGGUAAACGCGGCCUUCUUCCUUACCAAUCGUCAUUGGUUAUAGAAACGCGCGAGAAAUUAAAAAUAAGACUCGACGACGAACGUCGCGCCUUGCAUUCAUUUCUCCGGGGCUUGUCAAAUUUUAUGUCACGGCCUAUUACAAUAGAUAAUAGAUAUUUUUCUAGACUUUAUCUAGAGUUCCUAACUUUUUAUCAUUUUAAUGACUAAUGCAAGGAUAAUUGUCGAUUGACGUUGAUUGACGAAAGGAACGAUCAAAGUGCGUCGCUUUGUUUCGUCAAAAUUUGUUCGCUCGAUCGGGAGCGAACAUCAUUAUUUCUCGUAAAAAUUAUCGAUGCGAGAAAAGUUUUGGCGCGAGCGUUAAACGUGCUCGAACGGAGAAAAAUCGACUCGUGAAUUGGCGCGAGGGUUGCUUUGCGCGUUCACUCGCGUGCUCUCUCUCUCUCUCUCUCUCUCUCUCUCUCUCUCUCUCGAGUUACCGGAAGUGAGCUAUCGCGCGCCUAGUAUUCGUGGCUUAAGAGCAAUAAAGGACGCGUCGGUCUCCGGCGACGAGCGAACGAAGAGAGAAAACGGGCCGAGACAGUCGAGCGGAGGCCAAGAACCGCGUCGGAUCGCGAACGCCGUCCCCGUGGAAUUGUCAGGAAACACGUGACACGCUACUGGACCUCGCGACGAGACGCAAACGACUCGUAAAAGAGAUCAAGAGAGAGAGAGAGAGACUGAGAUCCACUUUCGCUCGUCAAAAAGAUUUGCUCGCGCACGAUUUUCUACCGAAAGAUGUACUUUUUCUACUUCUUUCCCCGAUCGCACGUCAAUGUUUUCUGUGAAAUCGUCGAUCAGCUUCUAAGUUGAAAAUUUCCUACGAGUUUUCUACGAUCGAGCAAAGGACAAUACAAAUGACGAGUGCACGGAGUAUGACGUCAAAUGCAAUUAGGGGUAUACGAAGGAAAAAGAGUUCGCUGUGCGAAGUAAAGGUGGCCGUUAUCGGAGCGCCCGGAGUUGGAAAAAGUGCGCUGACGGUGAGGUUCCUAACGAGGCGUUAUAUCGGAGAAUACGAUCACCAAUCUG